ensembl:lncRNA
AAAUAAUCUCCAACUAAUAGGAAGGACCACAAAAUCAUACUUCAAGCAACAGAGGUACCAUGCAGGAUGAAUAAUAGGGGCCAUCCUACAGUGGUGCUCCAAGCAGACAGGAAACAUGGCCCAGAAGCAUGGAGGCGCAUCUGUGUCUUGUUUCAGGAAGAAUCAUGCUGCUUGGUCUCCUCCAGUAGAACACGCACAUUCCAUCUCUGAAGAAAGAAAAUUUCAACAGUCCUGGCUCAUUCUAUCCUUUGUUCUCUUUGUGCCCUACAAGGCACAGUGGUCAUAAAGGCUCAGAGGUGCAUCCUGUGCUCUCCGUACAUCCGUUCCAGGUAUGUCUCUACACUUCACAAACAGCACAAGUCAUAGAAAGCAGCGCCCAUCUUGUGCCCAGGGCACGUCUAGAGCCAAGUGAGAACAGGAGAGGAGGGGAGAGAUGCUGCUUCAUAAUACAGACUGUCCCACAGCAGGUGGAAUAAAAAUCCUGUCAGUGGAUGUGAAUCUCCUAUUGUGAUCCCUGAAGUUCCGCUGAGCUCAAGACAGAUGGACACCCUGCAGCAGCUGCACAAAAUGGCUCUCAGAUCUGACCCGCAUACAAAGCAGAGAGCAUGAGAGUGCUCCAAAGAGAGCUGGCAGCCUCUUGACGUCCGUAAAAUACAAGGCUGGCUCUGGCUUUGACCCUCGCACAUCCCCUAAAACAUGGUAAAGGAAUAGAGAAGUGCUGCACUGCAUUCUUGGAAUUAUUCCAGUCAAUUUGAAUAUAUGACCAAUAUUUGAAUGUAAGACCAUUUAUCAGCUAUUCUGUGUUAUCUGAUAAUACGCUAUCAUCCUUCCAACCUCAAAGACCAGGAGACUAAAUGGUUCAAUAGUGUUUUUUCUUUUCUGUGGCAUUUCCAGGUGACAUAUCUUAUAGUGAGAUAAAAAUAAGGGUAAUACUGUUAGACUGUCUCUUUUCUAGCUGCACAAAAAUAUCCCAUCCUGCCCAUGUGGGACGUGGAUGGCAGGAAACUGACCCGCCUGGCGAGGAGAGAUGGUUGCCUCCAGGAAGGAGUCAAGAGGCCAAACACUGGACACAGGGUGAGGAGUGAGUGCUUGCCAACUCUGGAAAGGAGUCCUAUGCCUGGAUCUUGUCCCAUUGUGCUGGCUGAGCACCACAGGGGACUUUCAAGUGGCACAAAUUCUCGGCUGCACACGGUACCUAAGCCACAGACUGAAAAAUUAUGCAAGCAGGGUCCAGUGCUAAGAAACAGACUAGUGGGACCAAAGGAAGUAGAAUCAAGGUCCUUGCACAAGUAAACUUGGUUUGUGAAUGGGAGAUACAGGAAAAUGUGAAACAGAGAAGACAGAAAACUGACCAGGCAAACUCUCCUGCUCCCUUUUCGUACUCACUUAUCUUUGAUUCUUAUUGAGAUUCCAUAAGACUACAGAGUCUUAAUUAAGUUCAUUUUCUGACUUUUGUCCCCCUGAUGAAUCUGCCAGGUAAACCUCCAACCUGGAUCAGUUCGAACCCCUGUAUUUCCAUUCCUAUUACUGGUCUGCAGUUGCAUACCUCAGGAGAAAAUAUCCUAACUGUGUAGAAUGGCAUAAUUAAUUAAUGACACCCCCACUGAGUUCUCAGGGAGCUCAGUCAUCUUUCUCAAGAACCCAUUCAAAAAUGUUAACAUCUCAGUGACUGUUUAAAUCUUCUCCAGUCCAUCAAGCCCCAUUCUACCAUGCUCUCUGCCAAUUGUGCCUUCUAUUUUAUGAAGAAGAUAAAAGUCAUAAGGCAAGAAAUACACCAAUUUCCUCCCCCCACCCUUUGACUUAAAAAGAUAUCUAGGGGGUUGCUUUCUUCCCUUCUACCUCAGAAGAAGAGGUCAUUCUUGCACUGUGUGUUAUAUCCUGUCCAAGUCCUCAGAGGACUUGCUCACCAAUUACAUCUUCUUUUCCCUUCCUCUGUCUUCAGUGUCUCCCUUGCACUUACUCUUAGCAAAAAUGCUUCUUCCCAUUCAAAAAAGAGAGUUAUCCUUUACAUCUUUUCUUCUCCCUUCCCAAGUGACUUAAUAGGCCCUAAAAGGCUCCUCUAAAUUCAAAACUUUCUACUUUGUCACUUGGCAUAGGUGAAACAGCUCUCAUCAAGUCAAUAACAAUACGCUCAUGAUCAAAACCAAUAGAUACUUUUCUGUUUUUAUUUCACUUGCUACAUGUAACAUAAUGGACCCUUUCUCUUCUCUUUGCUGCCGUGAUAUCAAUCUCUCCUAAUCUCAUUCUUGUUCAUGCUGCACUCCUUCAUUAUGUCUUUUGCUGAUAUUUCCUGCUCCCUUUCUCUUCUCACAGUACAAACAUAUAUUUCUCAUUUAAUCUCACCCACAUCAGCCAGCACGAACCACAUAAAUACACAGAAUUUACAGAGCCAAUUCUAAUCCCCGUUCAUUCCGGAAGACUCUGUCCAAAAAGUCUGCUAAAAGUUUAAUUUGGACAUAACAGAACUACCUCUAACUUAUUAUAUCCCAAAUUGAACUCAUAGGCUUCCUCAAAAGAAAUAAAACCUAGUCUCUAGUGACUAGUCAUUUCCCUCCUACACACCCAAAUGAGGAACUGAGAAUCAGUCUAGAUUCUUGUCUAUCCUUUGCCCUUCACGCACAACUGGUCACCAAAUGCUAUUGAUCCUGCCUCUUAAAUACUUCUUAACAGCUCUACUCAUGUCUGUGUCCAUUUUCACUGCUGUUGUUAGUGUCUCAUCAUUACUUCCCUGAACUAUAGCAAUGGAUGCCUAAUUUAACUCAUUGUCUCUGCCCUGACAUCCCUUAAACUUGUCUUCCAAAGUUCUUCUCUGCCUUUGUUCAAAAAAAGAUAUACUUUGUGAAAAAUAACAAAACUUCUUAGCAAGCCAUAUAAAUCACUCACAAUUUGAAAAAUAUAAUUAUUCCCUCUAAUAAUGAUUAUGUUUGUGGGAUAUCAAUACUUUUUGCAUAAGGUUUCAUAAGUCAUAAAUUAGUUUAUCCAUUUUAAAUAUUCAGAAGAGGGUCCCAAACAAAGACAAGGUUCGGGAAAAUUAGAUAAUAUCACAGUAUGAAUUCAAUAAAUAUUCAUUUACUAAAUGAUAACUGCUACUCAGCAGAAGAUAAGAUGUUUAGCAUCCCAGCAUUAUGCAGGCACCAAGUACAGCACAGCAGAUGUCAGGUUCCAGUCUCCUGGGAAAGGAACUGCUGACAUGGUACCAGUUAGGUACCUUAAUGGUUCAAAGACAAAUUUCUUGUUACAUUCCACAUUUGAGCAUGCAGAGCAAUUUGAGAUAAAAAUCAUCCUAACCCUGAGAUUUCUUUAUCUAUUUCUUAUUUUUACCUCUACUGGGACUGAUUUGCUUACAUUUUCUUCGGUUUUUCACUGUUUGAAAUCUUCUGGUAUAGAUUUAUAUAUAUAUAU